GCAAACCUGGUGUGUGAAUUGGAUAAAAUAAGCGCGUGGGAGUUAGAGCGAGAGAGCGUACUCAAGCAGCUGUUUAGUGUGUGAGUGUAUAAGUGAAAAAAAAAUAAGUGGUUAACGCUGCGUGUGACAGCGUAGUGUUAGUGUUGCUAAAAAAAGUUGUGCGUGACAGUUUUUUAUGUUUGGUGAUAUGUGGCAAUCUGAUACGCUUGUGCGCCGCUGAAAGCAGUCAAAGCGCCGGAUGACGUUUUGAAAGGCAGUCCAUGCGCUUUAUAUGGGUAAAGGU